UCUGUUUGGGGACUGCGGACGACAUUA
rnacentral:rRNA from 1 species